AUGGAUGUUCAAUCCAGGUCACAGACAAGAUUGGCUGAUCUUUCGGGCACUCCUAACCAGAUAAGCAGAGCUGAGCAAUUGAUAAGUGAUGUUCUUGCAGAGGUUGAUGCUAACUCAUUUGGCACUAUCUCUAAUUGGAAGUACAAUGCACCUCAACCUAGUGUUGAGCAAUUCCAGAUGCAAAUUGCUAACAAGUGCGAUGGUGUGGUGGCUCGUGCGGCAUGCGGUGGCCUCAGAAGGUGGGCGCCAACACUUGCAGCUUGUGCACAAUGGCAACUCCACGCAUCUCCUGCGCCAGGAGCAAGGAUGCUGAGGCGGUUCAGAUGGGUUGGAGCACAAGGCAGCGCUCACGUCGCCAUGGGGUUGAGCUGCACGGGAGGGGGAUAA
rnacentral:rRNA from 1 species